rnacentral:lncRNA from 1 species
CACACGGGCGAACCAUGUGUACCUGUGGUUUAAGCAGCGUGAAGUCUGAAAGCAAUCGUUUUCGAAAGUGCUUUGCCAUUCUUUGAAAUGUGCAGAAGAAAAGAGAUCGUAGUCAGCACUCCCUCCAGGACCCACCUCUGUACUGACUUCAGAUCAUCACGUCCAGACAAGCUGGGGCACGGGAGCAGUCAGGAGGACGGAGAGGUCCCACUGAAGCUGGCCCGGUGGCGGUCACGGUCGGGUUUGCCACGAAGGAUCAUUCCAAAAGCCUAUUAAGUGAAUUCCUGUAGCCCAUUCAGCCGAUGGAAGGAGGACCAAGAAAAUCCUUCUGGAUUUUGGAGUAUCAGCCUCGACUCCGCUUCUUUCUGCAUUCUCUUGAUUGGCUUCAGGCUCCAGUGUCAGGUCAGCAGUGUUGUGGAGAGCUUGUCCCUGGGAGGGGACAGGAUCAAGGCCAGGCCAUAAAUGGGGGCCUCGGGAGGAGGGAGCGUGAGUGGGUCAGGAGAGAGAAGGC